AGGGUAGUACGCAGUCAAAUUUGCAUAUUCACGAAGACAGAAGAGUCAUUCCAGAAAUUUCAUCGUCAAAGAAUGCAAUUAUGCGGCUGGAAAUGCAUGUUGAUAAUUGCGCCAACUUGCGUUAAAACAAAUUGCGAUUUCACUGAUUAUGAAUUAACCAUACUGGAACAUUGUGAACAAAAGGAUAAAAACGCUUUGAAAAUGAUCCAAGCAUCGUGAACAAGAUAAUAUUAAUUUACAUAUCGUCUAACUUUUUCAUCAAAAGAAUCAGAAUUGCAUUUUUUAUCUCGUUUACCAAGAGAAAGAUCAACUUGAAAUGAACUCAAAAUGAUUAUUUUUAUAUUAUAUAACAAAAAUUGUAUAGAUUAGAUAAAUUGUUAUUGUCGAACGAAAUCAAAACUUUCAGUUCUUUCUCUCAAGAAAAAGAAACCAGCUGUGUUAUUACGAAAAUCGGUAUUCAGAGGAUUUUAAAUUGGAAUAUGACACGUAUGAAUUCGUGAGAAAGUCGAAAUUCUUACUUCUUUUCUCUCGAAAUCAACAACAAAAAAAAACAGGAAAUAACGAUCGAUUGCAAUCCAAGACCACCGAAUUGUCGCAAUUUUCCACUCGAAAAUUGGUAUUCGAGAGUUUUCCAGCUGGACUAAAUUUGGAUAUGACGUCAGACCCAUCAGGAAGAGCUCUAUGCAACCUCUUUAAUUCGAUUCGUCACGGUCAUAUUUAUUCACAGAGAAAAGUCGAAAUUCUCUGUUCCUUAAAAUCAACGAAAAAAGAGAAUAACAAUGUAAGGUUACUGUAACGAUAUUGCCGCAAUUUUUCGCAUAAAAAGACGAUAUUCGAAGUUUUUCUCCCGACACCGAAAGAAGAAGCAUGCCAGAAAGGCAUAACCCCUCCAGCUGGUUACGAAGCGGAUUUAAGAUCGUAAAAACUUUCAAAAUUAUCUUCGAUGAUGGAUUUUCAAUAGUUUGAGAAAUAUAAGGUUACCACGAUAAAAAAAACGUAAUCCCCAAAGCUCAAGUAAAUAUACUUGAGUAUUUACUUUGACGCUUCUUUCGUUAAGACACAUUUUUCCAAAAGAUUUAUCGAAUCGUUAAAGAAUUAAAUUACACGCACAAAUUUCAACUAUGCGUUUCCACGCUUUCAUUUCCAGCCCGCGUAAAUAUAGAAUCCGGAUUGCUCCAUCCCACUGACGUCACGAUCUUCGUAACCUUCCUAAGUUCUAAGUUCACAACAGCCCACGCUCAUCCGGGGAGGAAUACGCCCUUACGUAUAUCGCAAUUUUCCGAUAUAUCCCGAUGUAAUCGGCAGAGUUGGCCAUUAACCCGAUGUUGGAAAGUUGUAACCGCAAUAAAGUUAAAAAUCUCGAAUAAAGUUACUUCAAGUAAUUAUUUUAUUAAAGAUAUUUAAAAAUGAUAUUUAAUAUGUAACCUCGACCGACUUUGCCACUACUAGUUAUUUGCGAUUAUUAUUUUUCUCGAACAAUAAAUUAUCGAAAUUAACUUUAUCGAAGUAACUUCAACUAUUAAAUAUUCACUGAUCUUUCGAAUUAGAGUCGAACGUAAACUCUACCUUACCGAGCGUACACUACUUUCCUCGAAUUAAAAUCAAAUGUUGCAAACCUAACCUAACUUGAUCUAUUUCGUAUCACUCACGAUCAGAGUUGGACGUUAAAACUCGUUGAAAAGUUUAACUUUAAAAAGUAAGAAUCUCGAAUAAAGUCAGUUAUUAAAAUACUCAAAUAACAUUUAUUCGAUCCGAUUAUUUUUAUUUGCGAUCAUUAUUAUAUUUCGAACGAUAAAUUAUCGAAAUAAUUAUUAUUCGUGACUUCAAUUAUUAAACUUUCCCAAUCAUUGCCCGUGAUCUUUCAAAUUAAAGUCAAACAUAAACUCUACCUCAUCGAGCGUACUAUUUCUCGAAUUAAAAUCAAAUAUUCCAAACCUAACCUAUUCUAAUCUAUUUCGCAUCACUCACGAUCAGAGUUGGACGUUGAAACUGGUUGAAAAAGUUUAACUUUAAAAGAUAAGAAUCUCGAAUGAAGUCACUUAUUAAAAUACUCAAAUAACAUUUAUUCGUAUUAUAGUUGAUAUUAAUCAUGUAACUUCGCUAUUAUUAAAUUUUCAUGCCCACCACUGGACAUAACCUUCCUUCGUACGACGACAUUAACUUCGACCAUUCGAUUUCUCGAACACAUAUCCCGAUAUUCUCGAUUCUUUCUCGAUUUUCAUCGAAAAUCGAAUUCCUAGCUUCGAUUCAGCAUUAACGUGUGGCCACAAAUCGGAUCUUGGUGUGUUACGCAAUAAGCACGGUGUAUCGGGGACAAAGUGUCGCGGAUUCGGCCAUGAUGAAUCAGCAGCCAACGUUUGUUGCGUUAAUUUAUGGGCCGCGUAAACAGCGUCAUUUUCAGAGAAACUUUCGCAAUAUCGUGUCUGGCUCUCUUCUCUUUGAUCAGUGGAGAAAAUAAUUUGUUUAUUAUUGUCGUGUUGAAAGAUCGUGCGGAAUACUGGAACGAGAAAUUGAUUGGUUACCACUGGGUAUAAUAAUAAUUCGUAGAUAUUCGUAGGGAUUCGCGUAUUUUAUUUUUAUGAAUAAGAAUAAAAAAAAUGUUUGUCCCACUGAAAUGUAUCUUACAAAUCUUAUUUCUACGAUAUGUACUUCAAUUUUAAUCUGUAUAACUGUAUAACAUAAACGAAUACAAUUAUACAAUGAAAAAUAAGCUAAUGUUUAUAUCGAUAUUAAGUAAAUAAUAAUCUAACAUUUGCUCGCAUCGUUGUUAAUAAAUUAAAUUCAGCAGGAAGAAGAAUUGAAAAUAUUUCACGAAACUUGACGACGAGAUAGGAUAAAAGCCUCGAGACAGUUUCUCGAGUUAGUGUUCUUCCUCGAUAUACGGAUUUCCGGUGAUAUUAGGGCGCAGGAUGCAGAGCGACAGGCGGACGCCAAGGAUUCGCGAAAGGGGCCAAAAUCGUGUUCGUACUUUUCGAAUCUGGGACGAGCAAGAUUUAUUCUUCUCCGCAUUGGUUUUUAUUAUUUGGCAGAGAAACGUCCUUUUUUACAUCCUUUCCAAAUGGGUUGUCGCGCAACUUUCUUUUAAUUUGUAAUUCGAGUUAAAUCGAAUAUAAUAGUGGUGGGCAAAAUUUAAUAAAGUUUGUUUCGAUAAUUCUAAACACAUAAUUGCAAAUAAUCGUAUGAAGAUUGGAUAUGAAUUGUAAUAAAUAUAAUUAAAUAUAAUAAA